CCUACGGGAGGCUGCAGUGGGGAAUAUUGCACAAUGGGGGAAACCCUGAUGCAGCGACGCCGCGUGAGUGAAGAAGUUUUUCGGUAUGUAAAGCUCUAUCAGCAGGGAAGAAGCAAGACGGUACCUGACUACGAAGCCCCGGGCGACUACGUGCCAGCAGCCGCGGUAAUGCGUAGGGGGCCAGCGUUAUCCGGAUUUACUGGGCGUAAAGGGGGCGUAGACGGUUUGGCAAGUCUGGAGUGAAAGGCCAGGGUUUAACCCUGGGACUGCUGUGGAAACUGUUAGACUAGAGUGCGGGAGAGGUAAGUGGAAGUCGUGGUGUAGCGGUGAAAUGCGUAGAUAUUAGGAGGAACACCAGUGGCGAAGGCGGCUUACUGGACAGUAACUGACGUUGAGGCUCGAAAGCGUGGGGAGCGAACAGGAUUAGAUACCCUAGUAGUC
rnacentral:rRNA from 1 species